rnacentral:rRNA from 1 species
GAUGAACGCUGGCGGCGUGCCUAAAACAUGCAAGUCGAGCGGCAGCACUUCGGGUGGCGAGCGGCGGACGGGUGAGUAACGCGUGGGAACAUGCCCCAAAGUGAGGGAUAAGCACCAGAAAUGGUGUCUAAUACCGCAUAUGAUCUUCGGAUUAAAGCUUCGGCGCUUUGGGAGUGGCCUGCGUAAGAUUAGCUAGUUGGUAAGGUAAUGGCUUACCAAGGCGACGAUCUUUAGUUGGUCUGAGAGGAUGAUCAGCCACACUGGAACUGAGACACGGUCCAGACUCCUACGGGAGGCAGCAGUUAGGAAUCUUCCACAAUGGGGGCAACCCUGAUGGAGCAACGCCGCGUGCAGGAUGAAGGCCUUCGGGUCGUAAACUGCUUUUAUAAGUGAAGAAUAUGACGGUAACUUAUGAAUAAGGAUCGGCUAACUCCGUGCCAGCAGCCGCGGUAAAAC